GAUUUAUCCUCCACCCCAGCAGGCUCUUCAAGCUCAGAAGCAGAUUCCCAGUCAGGAACAGACGCCCGGACGAUCUACACGACAGCAGGCGGGGUGGGAGCCGGCCUUGUCAUUCUGAUUGUCGUCCUGUCGACAAUUGCAGUGUGCCGGAAGCAUCGACGAAAAGCUGCUGCUGUUUCCGAGCUUUCUGUCGUCUACAGUACUGUGACGCCUUCAAUAAAUUUCGUGGGCGUCGCCCAGGAACCUCGUGGCGUUGGCGACUCGCAGCCGACUCAAAGAGACAAGAUCGUCUAUGCUGAUAUCAACUUCCAGAAAUGAAAUGCACAGCAACUGCUUCGGACUGAAGUAUCGCAUCGGUGAGAAUGGAGCCCGUGGAACGUCAAACGGUAGAGCAAAGGAGCCCCUCCUGACGGAGCUAAUGACGCCUGAUCUCUUCUGUCCUGUCAUUGGUCGGAACCACCGUCUCUCAUUUGCAUAUCUAACCGCAUUCCAAGCGUCUGUGUCAUAUUUACUCCACUGUCGAGCGUCCAGACACCCACCACUCUCUGUGUGAAAGCACCCGACCAGCACAUCUCCAUUUUUGCAUUAAAAGUGUUUCCUUUCGCCUCAGACAUUUCCACCAUGGGGAAAAGAUGCCGGUUUUCAGUCGAUGCCUCUCGUGAUUCUAUAAAAGUUUAUCUGUCACAUCUGCCCUUAGUCUCCGAAGCUGUAGAGGAAACAACCCAAGUCUGUACAACCUCUCUUUUAUUCCCUUAUCCUCCAAUUCAGGUAGCAUUCUGUUAAACCUGUUCUACACCUGUCCAGCGCCUCCACGACAUUUAAUGAGGGUACGCUGUGCUUCCACUGAGGCCGAACCAGCGAUUUAUGGAGCUGCACACGGUUUACCGCCUCUUCUACCUAAAGACCCGACCAGUGAAGGCAAUUACCGUUUGGCUUCUUUACCGCCCAAGCUACCUUUUAUGGAGAUAUGGUUCCAUUGUCCCUCUGUGCAGCGACGCUGUUAAUCGCAAGUUCAUUAACUGUGUCCCUCCCCUUUACUCUUAACCUCCCAAUGCACAAUACCCCACAUGUGCCUGAAUGAACUUCCAUAUCCCCAUAUCUACAACAGGUAUACAGUGUAUGCCGCGCUGUUAUUCGGCGAAGCGCUACACUCUCCAUUAAGGCAUCAAUCUUUGCAUCAUUAUCAACAGCACAAACACACUCCACCAAGCUUCACCCAAGCCCCAUGCAGAAUGUAUAGAGACACCGCUCGGUAAAGAUCGAGUCAGAGUAAGAUCUAACGACCACUACACUCUGUCUUCAAUAGGAAAGGCAAUUCUGUAUCCAAACAGCCGAGUCACCCUGCUUCCUACAAGGCAGCAAGGCUGAUCCUGAAAUCGCCCAGCACUGGAAGAUCCACGAGUUUUUAAAUCUGUGGUUUAUACAGCAUUCAGGUACAAACAUGUUAUCUGAAACAAAUUUGUGGAGAAAACAUUUUGAGUAAAAUAUAGCAUGUUCUCUAUCAAAGUGGGAAACAUAACUGCAUUAUAAGAGAGCCCCUAUCUUACAGCCUGAGACCCCUGUUGAACUCUGAUCUUUGGUGGUGUUUGUGUGUGGGUUCCAAAAUUCCCCAUGUGAACGGAGGUGAAGUGGGAUCCCCGGAUAUUCCACUUUCCUGCCAUGUUCCUGAUGAGCACCUUGAUGGUUCAAUAGAAAUUAGGCCUUUUAUUUCCAAUAAAAA